CCUACGGGAGGCAGCAGUGGGGAAUAUUGCACAAUGGGGGAAACCCUGAUGCAGCGACGCCGCGUGAGCGAUGAAGUAUUUCGGUAUGUAAAGCUCUAUCAGCAGGGAAGAAAAUGACGUUACCUGACUAAGAAGCACCAGCUAACUACGUGCCAGGCGCCGCGGGAAUACGUAGGGGGCAAGCGUUAUCCGGAUUUACUGGGUGUAAAGGGAGCGUAGACGGUCAUUCAAGUCAGAUGUGAAAGCCCGGGGCCCAAACCCGGGACUGCAUUUGGAACUGUAAGGCUAGAGUGUCGGAGAGGCAGGCGGAAUUACUAGUGUAGCGGUGAAAUGCGUAGAUAUUAGGAGGAACACCAGUGGCGAAGGCGGCCUGCUGGACGAUGACUGACGUUGAGGCUCGAAAGCGUGGGGAGCAAACAGGAUUAGAUACCCUAGUAGUC
rnacentral:rRNA from 1 species